rnacentral:misc_RNA from 1 species
UCAAAGAUUUCACAGAUAGUUGAAAUCUUGAGGAAACAUUUUUCAUUUAUUCCUGACUUCAGACACAUGCCUGGUGCCAAGAUCAAAAUAUCCUGUGCUUUAAGGUUCGAGUCAGAGCCCUUCAGUCGCAUUUGGGGAAACAAUAUGCCAGCUAACGGAGUCGAUACCCUUCCUGCCUUAUAUGCAACUGUUCUCAAGUUCUCUUCUUCUGCGCCGUAUGGCUCCAUUCCAUCAUGCCAUGUUCCUUUUCUUCUAGGUCAACCCCCCAAAGGUUUCUACUCUUUUAGCGAGACGAAUUCCCUUGAUAUCAUCCCUGUGGAAGAUGUUUCUGAAACUCCUGGAGAUGACAAAAGCUUCAAAGCUCCUGUUCUGAUUGAAUUGGAACCACAGGAUCCAAUACCUGGUUUUGUUGAUGUUUUCAUUGAAACGAAUGCAGAUAAUGGUCAGAUCAUUAGAGGGCAGCUGCAUAACAUUACAGUAGGAAUUGAAGAUAUGUUUCUCAAAGCUAUUGUUCCAGAUGACAUCCCUGAAGAUGCAGAACGCGGUUACUACGUUGAUCUGUUUAAUGCUUUGUGGGAAGCAUGUGGCACUUCAACCAGCACUGGGCGGGAGACAUUUGUACUUAAAGGAGGCAAAGGGGUCGCAGCAAUCAGUGGUACUCGCUCCGUGAAAUUACUUGAGGUUCCUGUGACAUCUUUGAUCCAAGCUGUAGAGCGAUCCUUGGCACCUUUUAUAGUAUGUGUAACCGGUGAUUCUCUGACCAACCUCAUGAAGGAGGGAGGAGUUAUAAGAGACAUAACAUGGGAUGAGAUUCACUUGAGUUCCUCUUCCACCGAUGAUACCAUCGCGGAAACCAGUUUAGUUGGGGGACCCCUUUACCUCAAGUACAAUGAUGAUGAAGAUGAUGGAGGAGGAGGUUAUGUCCAAAUUAGUAAGAAAAACCUAGGCAUUAUUCAGAUUUUGAUAUUCCUUCCUCCAAGAUUUCACCUCCUUUUUCAGAUGGAAGUCUCUAAUACCUCCACACUCGUUCGAAUUCGAACAGAUCACUGGCCAUGCCUAGCUUAUGUUGAUGACUAUUUAGAAGCUUUAUUUUCCUAAAGAAAUUUGUUAUUUACUUGAGAGUCAUAUUCUUUUUCCCCAUAAGUUCACUUUGUGAGCUUGUGAUAUUUUACUCAAUAAUAGGUCUCAUGUAAAUUUGUUUCUCUUUGCAAAAAACUUCUUUGUUAGACUGCAAAGAAUGUAAACGCCUUGUAUAAUGUUUUUG